AUGGAGCUGCUGGAGGAGGAGCUGGAUGAUGUGGUCAUUGGGAAGGCUGAUGCCCAGAAGUUUGAGGCGGAGGCCAGGUGGAUGGCGAUAGCCCGUGUCAACACCAAUAGAUCCUUCAGCUCCUCUGCGUUUUUUGAGAACAUGAAAUUCAUAUGGGGGCUGGCCCAGACACCUAAGUUCAGAGAGGCGGGUGAGAACUUGUUCAUCUUCCAGCUCUUUUGCCUUGGGGACUAGAAAAGGGUUGUUCAUGGAGGCCCAUGGCUCUUCAGGGGGCUUGGGGUGACCAUUAAGGACUACGAUGGCAAGACAGACCCAUAAUUGGUGGCUCUGGAUGGCCUGUAUGUUUGGGUGAAAAUACAUAAGAUACCUGAUAUGUAUCGCCAUGAAUCAAUUGUUGAUGAGUUAGCUCGCAGAAUUGGCAAGGUCUGCGUGGUGCAGAUCCGCCCCACCCUCUAUUAUGAAGGAGAUUAUGUCAAGGUAAGAGCGAGGAUAAUCACUGCAAAACCUUUGACUCGCUUUACCCUGCUUAUUGUGGAAGGAGAAGGCAGACGCAUGCUCGUUGUUAAGUAUGAAAAGAUCCCGUUCUUUUAUCAGGUGUGCAGCUUCAUGGGUCAUAGCCAUGAGCAAUGUGGCAACGGUGUGUGGAAGGAUGAAGAUAAAAAGUGGGGCAAAUGGAUGAUAGCUCAACGCCGAACUGUGAUCUACUCGCAGCCUAUGGGGCGGGGAUUUUCUGUUGGAAAUAUGCCCUAG
rnacentral:rRNA from 1 species